rnacentral:rRNA from 1 species
UACGGGGGGAGCAAGCGUUGUUCGGAUUUACUGGGCGUAAAGGGCGCGUAGGCGGUCAGCACAAGUCAGUUGUGAAAUCUCCGGGCUUAACUCGGAAAGGUCAACUGAUACUGUGCGACUAGAGUGCAGAAGGGGCAACUGGAAUUCUCGGUGUAGCGGUGAAAUGCGUAGAUAUCGAGAGGAACACCUGCGGCGAAGGCGGGUUGCUGGACCGACACUGACACUGAGGAGCGAAAGCCAGGGGAGCAAACGGG